rnacentral:rRNA from 1 species
GAUGAACGCUGGCGGCGUGCCUAAUACAUGCAAGUCGAGCGAACAGACGAGGAGCUUGCUCCUCUGACGUUAGCGGCGGACGGGUGAGUAACACGUGGAUAACCUACCUAUAAGACUGGGAUAACUUCGGGAAACCGGAGCUAAUACCGGAUAAUAUAUUGAACCGCAUGGUUCAAUAGUGAAAGACGGUUUUGCUGUCACUUAUAGAUGGAUCCGCGCCGCAUUAGCUAGUUGGUAAGGUAACGGCUUACCAAGGCAACGAUGCGUAGCCGACCUGAGAGGGUGAUCGGCCACACUGGAACUGAGACACGGUCCAGACUCCUACGGGAGGCAGCAGUAGGGAAUCUUCCGCAAUGGGCGAAAGCCUGACGGAGCAACGCCGCGUGAGUGAUGAAGGUCUUCGGAUCGUAAAACUCUGUUAUUAGGGAAGAACAAAUGUGUAAGUAACUAUGCCCGUCUUGACGGUACCUACUCAGAAAGCCACGGCUAACUACGUG